GCUGAACUUAAGCAUAUCAA
rnacentral:rRNA from 1 species